CUGGAUUUGAGAGAGAGUCUGGAAAAUAUGGAGAGCCAUAGUGGAGUCUGGGGCCACCACAAUUGUUCUGAUCAUUUUGAAACUGUUAAUAUUCACUGUAAAUAAAUGCACUACGCUUUGACUUGGAGCCGUGUGGUGGCAGCUGUCCACCACAACCACUGGAGGGGAAAGAGAAGAGAGCAGUGAGCAACACAGGACAAAAGGCAAACUAUAAACCCACGCCCACAGCAGGGGACCACACCUGAUGCCCAUCAAGGCGAUUGGCAUUUAAGCCAGGAGGAGACUGCUGGUCUUCGCUGGAUCGUUGUCUGCCACGCACCUCCUGGACACCUUCCCUGUGUGAAUCUUUGUGUCGAGUGUUAAGAGUGGAUCUGCGGUCGUGAGUGUGGAGAGUUGGAGAACGAAUGACUACCCCUUUGGAUUUCCCUGGAGCCCCGUCCCUCGCUUUGUUGUAUAUAGCACUGCCCUGCACUUCCUGUAUAUACACCUGGUGGAUUCUGUAAAUAAAUUCUUGUGUACAGUUGAUUCUGGAGUCCUGCGCUUGAGACCCCCACGUUGAACUGUAACAUAAUGAUCCAGUCAUACUAUGGACUCAGCAGACUCAGCCCCCGCUCAGCAGCGCGUCCUUACGGACAAGGAAGUUCUGGAACACCACAAACAAAUGCUGCAGCUCAUCAAUCAGCAGCUGGCCGCGUUAACGCAAGCCCUCGCUAAGCCCAUACUUCUGGUAAGCCCAGUAGCCUCUCCUCACUCUGUCUCUUCACAGUUACCAGUUUCCGAGCCUCCAGCACCCGGGCCUCUGGCCCCAC
ensembl:lncRNA